rnacentral:rRNA from 1 species
AUUGAACGCUGGCGGCAGGCCUAACACAUGCAAGUCGAGCGGAUGAAGGGAGCUUGCUCCUGGAUUCAGCGGCGGACGGGUGAGUAAUGCCUAGGAAUCUGCCUGGUAGUGGGGGAUAACGUCCGGAAACGGGCGCUAAUACCGCAUACGUCCUGAGGGAGAAAGUGGGGGAUCUUCGGACCUCACGCUAUCAGAUGAGCCUAGGUCGGAUUAGCUAGUUGGUGGGGUAAAGGCCUACCAAGGCGACGAUCCGUAACUGGUCUGAGAGGAUGAUCAGCCACAUUGGAACUGAGACACGGUCCAGCCUCCUACGGGAGGCAGCAGUGGGGAUUAUUGAACAAUGGGAGAAAGCCUGACCCAGCAAGGCCGGGUGUGUGAAGAAGGUUUUCGGAUAUAAAACCUCUGUAAUUGGGGAAGAAGGAAAGUAUGUGUAACCCUUCCUGUUUUGACGUCCCAAAAUAAAAAAGCCCCGGCUAACUUCGGG